CGUGUCGGAUCUCCUUUUCGAGACAGAGAGUAAUGACCGGGACCAGGAUCACAAACACAAAGCCCAAGCAAUACUUGACCAAUAGGAAAACAAAAUGGUCGUGAAUGUAGACAUCGGCUACGUACAUGUGCAACGUAUAGGGAGCCCUUGGAGAACGCGUACAAUGCAGUUCAGAUAGAACGAGAUCUGGCACAGAUUCGACGAGGAGGGGAACAAGAUGUGUUUGGAAUACCCAAGUGCAGUUCGUCACAUUCUUCGUUCUUGACUUGAAUGCCAGAGAUCCCGAAGGUAACAGACUUUUGCGACACCUCACUGGCACACGAAAUUUGUUACCCUAUUCUUGGUCCACUUGAGGCGUGAAGCAUUGGAAUGCCAAAGUGCUUGUUUGUCUUGCCUCCUCCUCACCCUGGUGGAAGACAGCUUGACACGAGUUUCCCCCCCCAAAGUUUUGGAACUUGACGAGUUUCAAGUUUGCCUUUAUCUGUGAGCGAUGCAACUAGCAAGUGGAAAAACAAUAUCGUUUUUCUCCGUCUUUCUUCGACUUCUGCUCACUUUGUUCUUGUUCCAAACGAGACAACAUCAAGAACAACAACGACGACGGACGACGACGACAACAGUGUUCCAAUGGGAGUUUCCCGUCCCGAGAUGGAUCUUCCUCCCGAAAUGUUGGUCCGUGUGUGCCCAGGUUGCCUCCCCGGAGAAGACUAACUAAACCCAUUGUCAUAUAUUUCCUGCUCUGUUGAGAGUGGUUCCACCGCUUGACAGCCCAACGACCGCAGCCUCCCUCCUACUAAGAUGAGGCUGAAACGAGGACGCUCAGCCAAGGUUGUUUUCUAACGUAGCGCUCACGCGUCGUCGUUUCGAGUUUUGAGGCAAUGGUUGUUCUCGCACUCUGUACAUACUACUAUACUCUACGUAUGUACGUAGGUAUGUUCCUCUACGAACGGAUAUAGGUAUGCUCGGACUUGAAAGUGCCAUGUUGGUUGGCCAUGUUGCACAAAAUUUGCAGAAGCUCUAUGUAUGCAUUGCAAGCGGGUGCAAGUGAGGACAUGAUGAGUCCCGGGCAUCUCUUGUAUCAUAAAUGCAAAUGAGACGGCUUCCAUAAAUCCUGUGGGACGGAAAGUUUGAAAGCAUUUUCAUUCCCUCCUUGAUGGGAUCAGAUGGUGAGUGGGCGACCCGUGGAGCGAGCGAGUGUGAGGAGUCUCGCCUUGAAAUGAACCACCCUAUUCGCCCUUCACGAGCAGAAUGGAUGGAUGAUGCUUCGUCAUUGAGUGAUUUCUUUAUUGGUGAGCGUCAAAGAACUUGCCUCCCUCCACCUGGAACAGCUUUUGUGGACCAGAAUACGGCGACUCCCAAAAUUGGAACGCUUGAGAGUACCAGAUCAUUUUUUCGGAGGCUUGAAACGAGUCGAGUCUAACCGUGAACGAAAUUAUAAUUCAAUUUGGACCACUUCAUGCUCUGGUAGUUUUCCUGAAUGUGAAGUUGUUGUUCCCGGGUUUCACUUGGAGUAAAACGGGCUUUCGUUUCCUUGUCAGUCUGGAGCCCCAAGGCAUAGUCUAUUUUUAGAAACGAAUGUAUUUCGUUUUCAAUUCGAAACUUGGACAAAAUCGCAAAUACAGGGCAAUCCUGUCUCACUCCGAAAUUGCCUCUGAUUUACUUUUACCUUGUUUGUUCUUUUGAUUGAAAAAAAAAAUAUGGUAAAUGUCUAUAUGACCUCAUUUCUAAAGGCUCUUUGUGCGGAAAACCCUGUUUGUAUCCAUGGGGCUUCAUCUGCAUGGUUCUAAUGAAGCAAGAAUGAUUGAAAAAAUUGGCAGUUCGAGAAGCCAAGCUUCUGAUCGUGAUAUGAAGGAGAAACUUGAGUGGAACAUGCCUUUUCUUUCAACGAUCGUUCGCAUCGUGCAACUGACACACUGACAAGAGGUAUAAAUCUGGCUAAUUUUCCCGGCUUCUUUAUUCACUGACAAAACGUGGUAAUGUUAUGUUACAAAUGCACCAAAAAUAGUGGGCAGUGUGUCUUGGAUGCUGUUAUCAUCGUGGUCUCGUUGGUGCUUACAGUAAUAAAAUUUAAAGGAAAGAAUGAGUGAGAACGAUAAUUAGCGUGGGUGGAAGGAAAAGUUCGGAUUAGUUUCUGUUCUGAAUGUAUUUGAUUAGAGUGUUUAUCAAGUGCGGGCGAAACAAAAGGGA